rnacentral:rRNA from 1 species
UCCUCUGACACCCUAGAGAUAGGGCUUUCCCUUCGGGGUACAGAGUGACAGGUGGUGCAUGGUUGUCGUCAGCUCGUGUCGUGAGAUGUUGGGUUAAGUCCCGCAACGAGCGCAACCCUUGAUCUUAGUUGCCAUCAUUAAGUUGGGCACUCUAAGGUGACUGCCGGUGACAAACCGGAGGAAGGUGGGGAUGACGUCAAAUCAUCAUGCCCCUUAUGACCUGGGCUACACACGUGCUACAAUGGACGGUACAAAGAGCUGCAAGACCGCGAGGUGGAGCUAAUCUCAUAAAACCGUUCUCAGUUCGGAUUGUAGGCUGCAACUCGCCUACAUGAAGCGGGGAAUCGCUAAUAAUCCGC